rnacentral:rRNA from 1 species
CCUACGGGAGGCAGCAGUGGGGAAUAUUGCACAAUGGGCGGAAGCCUGAUGCAGCGACGCCGCGUGAGGGACGAAGGCCUUCGGGUUGUAAACCUCUUUCAGCAGGGACGAAGCGUGAGUGACGGUACCUGCAGAAGAAGCACCGGCUAACUACGUGCCAGCAGCCGCGGUAAUACGUAGGGUGCGAGCGUUGUCCGGAAUUACUGGGCGUAAAGAGUUCGUAGGCGGUUUGUCGCGUCGUUUGUGAAAACCCGGGGCUCAACUUCGGGCUUGCAGGCGAUACGGGCAGACUUGAGUGUUUCAGGGGAGACUGGAAUUCCUGGUGUAGCGGUGAAAUGCGCAGAUAUCAGGAGGAACACCGGUGGCGAAGGCGGGUCUCUGGGAAACAACUGACGCUGAGGAACGAAAGCGUGGGUAGCAAACAGGAUUAGAUACCCUGGUAGUCCACGCCGUAAACGGUGGGCGCUAGGUGUGGGUUCCUUCCACGGGAUCUGUGCCGUAGCCAACGCAUUAAGCGCCCCGCCUGGGGAGGUACGGCCGCGAGACGUAACUACAAUAGAGUAGACGGCGNGAGACGNGCCGACGACGACGACGAGGGAGUAGG